UCCACAACACCCAAGUACCCGACCUAAUCAUAUUGAGUUUAAAUUAUAUAUUCUACAGUUAAAAGAAAUUUACACAAUCAUAUAAUUAGUUGUUAUAAUAACAAAUAAUCUAUCUUAUUUUUAAUAUUAUAAAUUCAUAUAUUUCUGAUUGACUUGAUAAUGUACAGAAAUUUUACAGUAUUGACCUAGAUAACUUACGCUCAAAUUUAAGUAAAACACAAGCGUGAUUUUUUUAAGAGAAUCUGGAUUGGUGUGACUCAACGUGAAUAUUGGACGCAGACUAUUGAUCCUUCUUUGCAGACGCGGGAAUCCUCUCGUCAUGACUGAUGCUUCAGCUUCAGAUCACUUCGAUGACUUGCAGAAACGGAUAAUUUUUUGGUGCCUGCUUGCAUUUCCUCUCCGUGGGAAGUUUUCUGCCUUCUGAAAUUUGCAGAUCUUGCGGACACGUGAGUCCUCGCCUUUGUUUUACAGUUGCGCUCCCCACCAUCUUUGCUGGCGUCAAGCGAAGAACCUGUUGGAACACUCACAUCACGUGACGAGACCUUGGAGUCACCCAUUUCAAUACUUAAGUUGCCAAAAUAGCUAAUCUUUUGCUAUAUGCUGGGAUCUCCUGUCUCUGGGCUUUACCAGUUGCACGCCUCUUGAAAUUCACAGGGAAGUCCUUGCUUUUGUUGUUUGAAGAUCACGGUCAGCACCUUUGCAAGCGUCAUGGCAAGAACCUUGUGGACCAUUCAGAUAACGUGACAAGACCUUGGAUUUAGCAAUUUGAAUGCCUAAGCUGCCAGUUGAGUUCCUUCUCAAAAAGCGAACUUCCCGCUCAAUUCUCUCCAGAUGUGCAGACACUUGAGGUGAUAUGAUCCUUCUUGGCACAUUUCACUUCAAGACAUCCACCUGAGGCCAAGUCAUGGAACUUCAAACUCUACAAGCGGCGAAAUUGACAAGGAUGGCAUGGAAGGCCUUAAGAGGCUCCUACAAGCCACAUAAGAUGGCUUACGAUACGUGGAAGGUAGCUUGGGCGAGGCUUGGAGAAGAAGCUACUAGAAAGGAGGCCUAUAACUCAAAAGUGGCUAGAAGUGCAAAGGGGUAGAAAUGCAAAUGUGGCUAGACGUGCAAAAGAAGGGACAUAGAUGCAAAUGGUCACAAUUGCAAGCUUUGAGGAUUGGAUGAUGGCUAUAUGUGCAAGACGGAGUCUUUUCAAGUUUCAAGCCAACAUCCAACUAGCCGAACAAGGCCCUUGCCAUAUUAAGGGCAAUAAUGUAAUAGUUAGGUUUCUUUUUAUUUCCUAGAAGUAUAAGUAGGAGGAUGAACCUCAUUUACACUUAGACUUUGAUGAUGAAUAUUUGAGAGAUACUCAUAUUUUGAGUGAUAGAUUGUUAGGUAGAAUCUAGUGUUAGUUUAGUCAUAUAAUGGUGGAUUCCAUUGUUGGUUGUAGAACCUUUUAUUUCCAGUGAAUUCAUGAAGAUUGUUCAUUUGUGGAUUUCAAGUGAACUUCUUACCUUGAUUCAUAUUGCUUUAGUUCUUUGGUUGAAUUCAAAAUAGGAGGGUCUAGGUUUUAUAUACUUAGAUUUGCCUAUAGGAUUCAUUACCAGUUGGGUCAAGUACCUAUCAUUCUAUCUUCUUAUCUUCAAUUCUCAUCCCAAUUUCUUGUUAUCCUUUAGUUCCGUGUUUUAGUGUUGAAUUGGUGUUUUCCCCCAAUUCAAAUCGUAUCAUUUGGUAUCAGAGUAAGGUAGAAGGAUCAUUCCAUUGAUUCUUCAAUCCUUGAUCUAGAAAAGUAAAAAAAAAAAAUGAAAAUCAGGGUUUUGAUGUUUGUUUGUUGGAUUUGAGGUUGAAUCUGUGUUUAUUGCUAUCUAAAAUCUCUAAAUCCGAAGUUUGGAGUGGUUUGGUGAAGAUUGAAGCAUUUCACCAUUGUUAGGGUUUUGAAGCUCUUAAAGAACUUGAAAAAAAAGGGUGUUCUUCGAUUUUGAGUUGGAAUUGAGUAUUGUUGAGGCUAGAUUUGAACUUAUUGGCAUCAAAUCUAGUAGGAUACAAAGUUUGGAGGCAUUUGGAAAGGGGUUUGUAGUUUUUACCAUUGAAGACUUACAAAGAACUUGAAGAACUUUAAAUGGAUCUUCAAAUUUAGGGUUAAAUUGAAGCUAAUUGAGUGUUAAAUCUUCUUCUUUAGGUGAAGGGGAUCCUAGAUCUAAAAGUUGGUGGAAGAACAAGAAGAUUUGAAGGGGUUUUGAAUUUGGGUGUUAUUGGUGUUCUUGAGGGUAUUCAUAUCUUCAUAAGGAAGAAGGUGACCAAAAGGUGGGUUUGAUCCAAAAGAAUUUUCCCAAAGUGAGAAAAAGUGUUUUUCUAACCUAAAAAGGAAAAUACUAGGUUGUGUGGGGCCAAAAGAAGAUCCUGAAAUCAGAAUUUUAGCUCAAGUUUCGAGAAUACAAGUUACAAAUUCAUGAAAUAUUGAAGUAUUAUAUGGUCAAUACGGACCGUAUAAAUUAUACGCCCAUAUUUCUCAAGAGUGAAAUUGCACACGAGGAAUUGAACCUACUGUUGCUGAUUUACGGUCCCAAUUGACGGACUGUCAAUAAUUUACGGUCUGUAUAUGACACAAGUCCCAAUCGUAGAUUUCAACUGUAAAACGAGAUACAAAGCAUAAAACGCAUUCUGUGAGUGCGAUCUAUACUUCCACUUGAGGGCCCCUAACGGACCUUUGCAAGAUCAUAUUACAUGCCAUAAACAACCUGUAUGCAAAGCCACGACCUCUAGAUGUACCCGCAUUUACCCGAAAUUGCAUUGCAAGUUUGUUCUUCAACCCGGUUUCACUUCAUUUUUAGUUCUAAGUUCCGUUAGGUAUUUGUUCAUCCUUCCUUGAUCUUCCAAGCUAAUUAACACUAGUAAUUGACCUUACUUAGUUGUUGAGUCCGAAUUUCUUUCGUGCCAAUUCUUUUCAAGCUUUUCUCAUUUUAACCUCGUUGAAUUUUCUUGGCUCAAGUCCUUUUGCUUUAUCGAGUCGUCCGUCUUUCGAUUAACAAGAAUCUAUUUCUCCACAAAGGUUAGCAAUCUUGUGAAUUGAAUCAGAUUAAAAGGGUUCUUGACCAACCUUGGAAGAAUCUUAGGUUGAGAGGUAAGUUUGAGUGCAAAUACGAGUGAUGUAAGGAGCUUUUGCUACUAAUCUUGUUUGCUCGUUUUGUAGGUACACGAAGAGGAGACAUAAGGAGAAGGAGAGAUAGGGAUGUCAUCCAUAGCGUCCGAGUCUUGUGGAGAUGAUUUUGAAGGUUAUGCCUCUAGCAUUGGAAGGUAUAACUAUGAUGAAUAUGGGGGCUAUGAAGAAGAUGACAUUGUAUAUGAGCAUCACUAUUCUUACGAUGAAUAUGAUAGUAAUGGUGCUCAUAGACCGAAUGAAGAAUAUGGUCGAUAUGAUCAUAACCCUUAUGAGGGUGAAUAAUACUACUCCGAGGGCAAUUGUGAGGCAACACCUCAUGAGGCUUAUGAAGAAGAAGGAGUAGAUGAGUAUGAAGAAGAGUCCUAUAGUGGAUACGAACAUGAAGAGUCUCAGCCUACACACCAUGGACAUAGGGUUGAAUUGAGGUAUGCUCCUUCCUCACACUUUUGUUAUGAACUACUUGGUGAGAACUUUCAAGAAUGGGAAGAAUGUGGUGAUGAUGAGCCUAGUGGCUAUGCACUUCAUGGUGAGUAUGCUUGUGAAGAUAAUGGAAUUGCAUAUAAUUCUUAUGAGGGGUCUUCUAAUAGAUAUUCACGUGCAUCGCCUUGUAAGACUUCCUAUUCCAAGCAAAAUGGUAUAAGUGUGUGAAUUGGUCCGAGUAGGAGUAGUCCGAGGAGGAGAAGAGAUUAUACAUUUCCUAAUCCGAGAAACACGAUGAACUAUGGUUCUUAUCCUAAUCCGGAGAUGCCAUGUUCUUAAUAUGGUUAUGGUGUGGAGGGUAGGAGGAGAGAAGUGUUGACGAGAGGUGACCAACUUGUUGGUUAUGGAAGUUCUUGUGGCGACUACUCAAAUCCGACAUCUCAUCCUAGUGCAAAGGUUGUAAUGACUAAUCAAAAAAGUCGGAUUCAAAAGAAGGAGAGCUUGUCCGUGGAGGACACAAAAUUAAUCCUUAAGAGGCUAUCAGUGGAGAUGGCAAAAAUGGAUAAAAUAUUAGAUGGGAUGGGGGGAGAGAUUAGAGAGAAUGGAUGGAAGGGGGCUAAAUAAGAGUCUGAGUCUUGUUGGGAACCCAUAAGGCUCACAUCAAGAGCCUAACCUAGUUCACCACCAAAUUAAUCCUCCCCAAAGAAUGCUUGCCACUUGUCCCAACUCCAAUAAAAUUGAGAGAGAAAAGAUUGAGAGGAGCAAGGGAGUGAAAAGUGACAACUCUAGAGAGAAAAAAUGAGAGAAUGUGAGGAGUGAUGUGAGGGAGUUGUCACAACCUUUAUCUAAUCCUUGUGACUUUUCUUUCUUCUCUAGUGGUCUUAAUGAUAGUGUAGGUAUUCUUGGGAGCAAGUCGGAUGAUGAAUCUCAACCUUUAAAGGUUCUUGAGGUAGUUGAGAGCUCCCCGGAGGAGCAAACGAGCUCCAAAGUUGAAAUCCGAGGCAAAGAAAAUGAAUGCGGAUUUCAAGGUACAAUAGCUAAUCUUAACUCUCUAAGUAAUGUGAAUGACUAUGUUGUUAAAAUGAGUGUGAAUGAUAGCUUUUCCGUAAAUGAGCUUAAUGAGUCUUUGCCUUGUGAUGAGCUUAGUGCUAUAAUGACAAUUGACAAUGUAGUUGAAAUGGAUGAUCCAACACUAGCUGAUCCUAUUGAUGACUAUCUUGACUCUUCUUUUGAGUUUAAGUUGUGUCCACCUAGUAUUGAUCCUCUUGAUAUGCAUGUUAGUACAUAGUCAUGUGAAUUGUUAGUGCACCCACUAGUUGAUCCUAGCGAUGAUUGAAUUGAAUCUUCUAGCAAGGUCGAUUUGUGUCGAACUAGUAUGGGUGAUGGUAUUGGUCAACUCGCUUGUAUUGAUAGUCCACUAAUUGAGAAAUGUUAUGAUGUGCCUAAUGAAUCUCAAUUUAGUGAUAACUUUGACCAAGUUGAUAGUGAAUUUGUAUAUGACACACCACUCGUGUUUGAUACAUAUGGAGAUGAGUCCCAUGACCUUGACUUGUUGUCAUUUGUGGAGACUCAAGAUCUUAAUGGUGUUAUGUGUCAUGUAGUUAGUCAUGAGAAUGAAAAUGCCUUGAAAAAUGACUUUUGUCUUUUUGGGAGUGAGAUUGCAUGCUUUGAUCCUUCAUUGUUCAUUGAUUCUUCUCUCUUUAUAGAUAAUGCGUUAUUUGAAAUUGACAUGACUAUUGAGAGUGAUGAACCUAGUGGAGUGUUUGGUAAUGUUGAACGUUUGGUUUCCUUUGGAGACUAUAAUGUGAUAUGUAACCCACUAUGGGAUGACGACACUCUUCCCUAUGAUGGAAAUCUUCCCUUGAGGGUUUGUAACCCAAUUAUGGGGAGGGAAAGUGUUGCAAAGCAAGGUGAUUUUUGUCUAGAAAUUGCUAAUUCUUCCUUUCAUGUUCGACUUCAUAGUAGCCUAUUGGAUAAUCUUGUCCUUGAACCGUAUGGUGAGGUUACAUUGGAGAGUGAUAUUGAUGAGGAAGUUAUUUUACGUGAUACCUUUCUCUACUACUUAUUUGCAUAUGAUGACAUCCUUGAGCAUAUGGGGAGUGCAUCUUAUGUGGGAGAAGGUUCUUAUGAUCUAGCCGAUGUCAUUCUUGACCAUACUAGGUAGAUGUUCUUCCCAUUUGAUCCGGGUGACACCUUGUGUUAUUUGAGAGCACUAUCUUGGGAGAGUCCUUGUUUGAAAAAUGAGAGUGUCCUUGUUUGGACAUUGUGCUAAAUGUCAAAUAGAACCAAUGUCGAGUUGCAUAUUUCGUAGUUUGAAUCCAUUGGUUUUAUUACUCUAUCCUUAUGUCAUGAACCUUGGAGGAAUCAACUUCUUGAUAAUUCAUGUGUGCAAAUGUUAGUCAUGAUUGUCAUAGAUGUGUGGUUGUACCACAAGUUUGUUCAUCCUUGGCAUGAAUAUGUGAUUAUUGCUUUGUGUGCUAACCCUCAAUCCUUGAGGAGUAUGUUUUCGUAUGUCUUCCCUUGGGUUUUGCUAGGUUCGGAUUCGAGGACGAAUCCUUUUGAAGACGGGGAGGAUAAUAUGAUCCUACUUGGCACACUUCACUUCAAGACAUCCACCCGAGGCCAAGUCAUGGAACUUCAAACUCUAUAAGCGGUGUGGAUGACGAGGAUGGCAUGGAAGGCCUUAAGAGGCUCCUACAAACCACAUAAGAUGGCUUACGAUGUGUGGAAGGCAGCUUGGGCGAGGCUUGGAGAAGAAACUACUAGAAAGGAGGCCUAUAACUCAAAAGUGGCUAGAAAUGCAAAGAGGUAGAAAUGCAAAUGUGGCUAGACGUGCAAAAGAAGGGACAUAGAUGCAAAUGGUCACAAUUGCAAGCUUUGAAGAUUGGAUGAUGGCUAUAUGUGCAAGACGGAGUCUUUUCAAGUUUCAAGCCAACAUCCAACUAGCCGAACAAGACCCUUACCUCAUUAAGGACAAUAAUGUAAUAGUUAGGUUUCUUUUUAUUUCCUAGAAGUAUAAGUAGGAGGAUGACCCUCAUUUACACUUAGACUUUGAUGAUGAAUAUUUGAGAGAUACUCAUAUUUUGAGUGAUAGAUUGUUAGGUAGAAUCUAGUGUUAGUUUAGUCAUAUGAUGGUUGAUUCCAUUGUUGGUUGUAGAACCUUUUAUUUCCAGUGAAUUCAUGAAGAUUGUUCAUUUGUGAAUUUCAAGUGAAUUUCUUGCCUUGAUUCCUAUUGCUUUGGUUCUUUGGUUGAAUUCAAAAUAGGAGGGUCUAGGUUUCAUAUACUUAGAUUUGCCUAUAGGAUUCAUUACCAGUUGGGUCAAGUACGUAUCCUUCUAUCUUCUCAUCUUCAAUUCUCAUCCCAAUUUCUUGUUAUCCUUUAAUUCCGUGUUUUAGUGUUGAAUUGGUGUUUUUCCCCAAUUCAAAUCGUAUCAUGAGGCAGGGUCCAACUGUGCCAUUUAGACAUUUCUCGCUGAAUCAGUCAAAUUUACAAAGUCUGUGCAAUACACUCGCUGCUGAUGUGACAAAUGACGAAUAAAAUGAGGACACGCGUCUUUUUUAAUUAAAAAAACACUAUUUUAAAAUAUUUAAUAACAAAUUAAAAGUAAUACUCUCAAAAAGGAAAAAAAAACUGAUUUACACCCAAUCAGAAAAGGACACAUUAUUAACAAAAAGAAAAAGAAAGAAAGGACACGUUGAAAAUGCUGAAAUGAGCUGUUCUUGGUGCUUCACAAUCUUCAGUUCUUGUUACAAUCACGAUUUUAAUCCAAAUUUUCAAGAUAAACUCCUCCAAAUUUGUUAUAACUUCAGCUAAAGAUUCCCCACGAAGACCGAAAGACAAUCCAACAUUAAUUUCUCAAAAUUUUCAGCAAAUCAAUUAACCUAUUUUAAACCUUCAAGCUUUCUAAAGACUCCAUUAAUGGCAAGUUUUUUUUGUUUUUAAUCUUUUUGGGAUUUUUUUUUCUUUUGUGCAUUAAAUAGAUUUUUCCAAAGAAAAUUCAUCUUUCUUUUCCUGUAAACGCUUAUGGAGAGAGGGUGGUGGCGGUCUUGAUU